CCCCGCGCUCCGUGAGGGGAGGCCGGUUUCGCAGCGGGGGAGACCCCCAGGGAUGGGUGCUCCCGGAAAAUGUGGUUAAAGGAGGAGCAAAAGGCCGCAAAAUCAGAGAGGUGAUAAUCCCAAAAUCGCACCACUGGGACUAUGGCGAUAGUCCCAAAAUGUGGCAGCAUUCCUGUCAGUCACAGCAUCUCAAGAGCUGCAAACCCAACAGGAAGAAGAUAGACAGGAGAACCUCAGGAAAGAUACGGCCUGACUGCUAGUGAAUAAUUGGGCCAUAAUUUCCAGGCAGUCUGUGUGUUGGGUCUCUGUGCAGAAAGCAGUUGCAAGGAAGCUUGCCCAGAGGAGUAGCUAUUUUAGGCAUCAUCCCAGAGGAUCAGUCACCAUCUUUUCCAUGAAGAUGCAGAGAAAAGGCUGUAGCAUUUUUGAAAGCAGUAAUGUAUUUCUGCAGGUGUUUAAAUUUGCUUGCACAUCUGACCUGACCCUGUGCUAUUUAGUGUUCAUGUAUUAAUCCUUUGCAAAUGUGAUGAAAACUCAGUUACUGAAUGUAAUGUUUCUUUGCAGCUCGCUGAUUAACUAAAUUCUGCUGGGCUGAGGAAAGGCUGGUGUUGAUAUGAGGAUUUAGCAGUUAAAUAGAUUGAAAACUGUUCAAUAUGGGCACCACCAAUAUUGUGUAACACUCAUUUCUAUUUAAACCAGAAUGAAAUAAAAUUCCUGUGGUAUUAGUAGCUGUAGUAUUGUUUUAGCUGUAAUUUAGCUAUAGUAUUAUUUUAUCAGCAUGCUUACAUUCUUUGAGCCAACUUGCAAUCUAUGGAAAAGGAUCAUUUGUCUUUUCUGAAACCAUAAAAAGCAGGACUUCUCUGAUGCUGUGUUAGCUCUCUCAAAUUCUUUACACGUUGAGUCAUCUACUUUUCCUCCUUGGAAAGGUAGGGAGCUGGUAGUAAUGUGCAGCUUUCACCAAAAGAUGUGACCACUGCUUCUCUCCUUGUUUGAAACUGCAGAAUUUUAUUGGCUAAAAGAAAAUUAUUCUGAACUGUGAAUCACAUCUUAACAAUUAGCAUGUUGUAGGAAAGCCAGCUAAUGAACAGGAGAUAGG